CAGUCGCCGCGGGAACACGUAGGGUGCAAGCGUUAAUCGGAAUUACUGGGCGUAAAGCGUGCGCAGGCGGUUUGUUAAGACAGAUGUGAAAUCCCCGGGCUCAACCUGGGAACUGCAUUUGUGACUGGCAAGCUAGAGUGUGGCAGAGGGUGGUGGAAUUCCGCGUGUAGCAGUGAAAUGCGUAGAUAUGCGGAGGAACACCGAUGGCGAAGGCAGCCCCCUGGGCCAACACUGACGCUCAUGCACGAAAGCGUGGGGAGCAAACAGGAUUAGAUACCCCGGUAGUCCCUGUCUCUUAUAC
rnacentral:rRNA from 1 species